AAACAUAACAUAGAGGGUCCUGCCUGCCCAGUGACAGAAAGUUAAACGGCCGCGGUAUCUUGACCGUGCGAAGGUAGCAUAAUCACUUGUCUCCUAAAUAGAGACUGGUAUGAAUGGCAAGACGGAACUUAACUGUCUCCUUUUCUCCUAUCCUAAUUUCACUUUCCCGUGAAGAGGCGGGAAAAUAUUCGCUAGACGAGAAGACCCUGUCGAGCUUAAGCAAAAUGCUAAUUUCUAACUCCUCUUAAUUAUAUUCUAAUUUUUUCUGCUAAACGUAACUAAGAGAAAAUUAUUAGUACAAGCUUUGGUUGGGGCAACCACGGAGAAGAAAAAUCCUCCGCUUACAAUAAAUAAAAAUAAGACCCUACAAGUCUAAUAUUGUAUAAACAAGUCAAAUGAUCCACCACGGUGAUCAAAGGAAAAAGUUACCGCAGGGAUAACAGCGUUAUCUUUUCUGAGAGUUCACAUUGACGAAAAGGUUUGCGACCUCGAUGUUGGAUCGGGACAUCCUAAGGGUGCAGAAGCUUUUAAGGGUUGGUCUGUUCGACCAUUAAAGUCCU
rnacentral:rRNA from 1 species